rnacentral:rRNA from 1 species
GAUGAACGCUAGCGGCAGGCCUAACACAUGCAAGUCGAGGGGUAUAAAAGAGCUUGCUUUUUAGAGACCGGCAAACGGGUGCGGAACACGUACGCAAUCUGCCCUUAUCACGGGGAUAGCCCAGAGAAAUUUGGAUUAAUACCCGAUAGUAUUAUAAUAAGGCAUCUUGUUGUAAUUAAAAGCUAUGGCGGAUAAGGAUGAGCGUGCGCAAGAUUAGCUAGUUGGUGAGGUAACGGCUCACCAAGGCGACGAUCUUUAGCUGAUGUGAGAGCAUGAUCAGCCACACGGGCACUGAGACACGGGCCCGACUCCUACGGGAGGCAGCAGUGAGGAAUAUUGGUCAAUGGACGGAAGUACUGAACCAAGCCAUGCCGCCGUGAAGGAAUGAAC